AAUAUAAUUGAAAUUAAUAUAAUUAAAAACUUUGACCUGAUCUACAAGAAUGACAAGUUACAUUACAAAUAUUAACAUCAAUUAAUUCAUUCAACAAACAUGAAUUAAGUUCCUAGUUCAAACCAGGCAUUAUUCUAAUUAUAAGCAAAACUGACAAAAAGCCCCUGUCUUCAUUGAUCUUACCAUGCAUGGCAGGAUAGCGGAUGUGGUGAGACAGACAAUAAAAAAAAUGUACUCUUACGUGGUGAUGAAUGCUACAGAGAAAACUACCACAAGAAGUGGAGAAAGAGCCUGAGGAUAGUGUUGCUACUAAAUAGCAAGCAAUCCUAAAAGGCCUUUCUGAUAUAGUGAUAUUUCAGCAGAGACAUCAAGAAAGUGUGGAAAUAGACAAUUGGCUUAUUUGGAAGAAGAGGAUUCUGUUCAGAAAGAACAGCAAGCAAAAGAAAACCAAUAUGCAAAAGUUCUGAGAUGUGAGUUUGUUAGCAUGGCAGAGGAACUAAAGGUGGCUAAAAGUGUACUUGACGCAAAGUGGAUGGAAAAGAAAAGUAGAAAAUGAUGUGGUAGUGUUUAGAUGAAACAGAGCUGGGACACCACUGUGUACACAUCACAUCUUGCAUCAUAAUGGGCCAAUCCAGUUCCUCUAAAGACAGGGAACCUGUGGAUAAGGAGCAGGGAAUGGGCAGGGCACUCCUCAGGGUUACUGAAGUAGUCCAGGAAAAGGGUGUUGUUAGGAGGGUGCAACCACAUCAAGAUGGGAGUCAAGGGCAACUGAGGUCCAUGUCCCCAAACUGACAUUUACUCAAGAGGAGAAGACUGCAAUGGGAGCUGGAGCAGGCUGCAGACAGAGAAAUUAGGAGUUUUGUUUUGAUGGCACCAAAAUUGAAAUGUAAAAGAUUGAAUCCCACACUGAAAAAAAAAGUCAGAAGAUGAGAUGCCUGAGGCAGCAUGGAAAUACUGCAGGACUAUUAAACUAAAAAGCCACAGAGCCAUUCACUGGAUGAUCCCUCCUUGUCUCUAGACAUUCUUCAGCGUCACUGUAGUCUCCCAAAUAAAGAGUAUGGCUAAAUUCCAUGAAUGAAUGACUCAACUCUACAAAAUUCAAAGAGAAUACAAAUUCUCCAAAAUCUCUCUCCAC